UGCUGGAUUCGUUUAUUGUCUAAGACAUUGUUAUCACWUAUGAUAUAGUGAAAAUCUUAGAAUGUAAGCSGUGAUUCCACAUUGGUGUCAUUCCUGUAAAGAGGGCUUACUUGCAGAAAACACGMAGCAUGCKGUAAACAGUUGUCAGUUUUAUAUUAUAGAAUUGCUUGGGAAAAAAAUUCAGAAGCAAAAUUUUUAACCACUGAACUUUUCUCAAUACCCCAGACAACACCUCCAGAGAAAUGAGGCAAAUAUUGAAUCACCCUGUAUGAUAAAGUUGCUCACUUGGAGUGAAAUAAGGGCAAGAAUCUUCACAAUGAUUCUUUAUUACAGUAAAUCAUUACAGUAAAUCUUUACAGUACAUAUGAAAAUAAAAUACGUCUCAAGGAAGAUUUUGUAUAACAUUUUUAACGUUGUUGGUUCUGGUUUAUAGCCAACAUUGAAGGUACAAUAAUUAUUAUCUACACGCUUUCUAGUGGUGGCUUAUACAUAAUUUGACUGAUCUUUUCCUGACCGCCCAGCGUAUCAUAUAUAUACAUAUUAAUAUAUCCUAUCUGAAUUAAUAUUCAAUCAAAUGCAUUAUUUGGAAAGGCUAUAAUUCUUUAUUAUUUUUUUCUCACGUAGGUACUUGCAGUUAGUUGCUGGUAGGUGCCUGCUGCGUCGGAGCCGAGUGAUGAUUAUUUGGCUCUUACCUAGGAGAUACAUUAUUAUGUAGGUCUAUAUAUAAGUAUAUGAAUAUAUAAAUAAAUAUU